UAAGGAAUAUUGGUCAAUGGGCGGAAGCCUGAACCAGCCAUGCCGCGUGCAGGAUGACUGCCCUAUGGGUUGUAAACUGCUUUUGUCCAGGAAUAACCCCAGCAUACGAGUAUCUGGCUGAAUGUACUGGAAGAAUAAGGAUCGGCUAACUCCGUGCCAGCAGCCGCGGUAAUACGGAGGAUCCAAGCGUUAUCCGGAUUUAUUGGGUUUAAAGGGUGCGUAGGUGGCUUAAUAAGUCAGGGGUGAAAGACAUCGGCUCAACCGAUGCAGUGCCUUUGAUACUGUUGAGCUUGAAUUAUGUUGAAGAUGGCGGAAUGAGACAAGUAGCGGUGAAAUGCAUAGAUAUGUCUCAGAACACCGAUUGCGAAGGCAGCUGUCUAAGCAUUUAUUGACACUGAUGCACGAAAGCGUGGGGAUCAAACAGGAUUAGAUACCC
rnacentral:rRNA from 1 species